rnacentral:rRNA from 1 species
ACAGAGGGCGCGAGCGUUGUCCGGAAUCACUGGGCGUAAAGGGCGCGUAGGUGGCAGAUCAAGUCCGGGGUGAAAGCCUCCAGCUCAACUGGAGAAGUGCCUUGGAUACUGAUUUGCUCGAGGGAGGUAGGGGUCGAGGGAACUUCUGGUGGAGCGGUGAAAUGCGUUGAUAUCAGAAGGAACGCCGGUGGCGAAAGCGCUCGACUGGAUCUCUUCUGACGCUGAGGCGCGAAAGCUAGGGGAGCAAACGGGA